ensembl:lncRNA
GUAAACCCACGGCACACAGCACACAGAGUGGCACACAGUGUGGCACACGGCACAGCACCGCAGAGCCACGGUGAGCUCAUGGCACAGCACCGCAGAGCCACGGUGAGCUCAUGGCACAGCACCACAGAGCCACGGUGAGCUCAUGGCACAGCACCGCAGAGCCACGGUGAGCUCAUGGCACACGGCACAGAGCCACGGUGAGCUCAUGGCACACAGCACAGAGCCACGGUGAGCUCAUGGCACACAGCACAGAGCCACGGUGAGCUCAUGGCACAGCACCGCAGAGCCACGGUGAGCUCAUGGCACAGCACCGCAGAGCCACGGUGAGCUCACGGCACAGCACCGCAGAGCCACGGUGAGCUCAUGGCACAGCACCGCAGAGCCACGGUGAGCUCAUGGCACACAGUACAGAGCCACGGUGAGCUCAUGGCACAGCACCGCAGAGCCACGGUGAGCUCAUGGCACACAGCACAGAGCCACGGUGAGCUCAUGGCACACAGCACAGAGCCACGGUGAGCUCAUGGCACAGCACCGCAGAGCCACGGUGAGCUCAUGGCACACAGCACAGAGCCAUGGUGAGCUCAUGGCACAGCACCACAGAGCCACGGUGAGCUCAUGGCACACAGCACAGCACCGCAGAGCCACACUGAGCUCAUGGCACAGCACCGCAGAGCCACGGUGAGCUCAUGGCACACAGCACAGCACUACAGAGCCACGGUGAGCUCAUGGCACACAGCACCGCAGAGCCACGGUGAGCUCAUGGCACAGCACCGCAGAGCCACGGUGAGCUCAUGGCACACAGCACAGCACCGCAGAGCCAUGGUGAGCUCAUGGCACAGCACCGCAGAGCCACGGUGAGCUCAUGGCACACAGCACAGAGCCACGGUGAGCUCAUGGCACAGCACCGCAGAGCCACGGUGAGCUCAUGGCACACAGCACCGCAGAGCCACGGUGAGCUCAUGGCACAGCACCGCAGAGCCACGGUGAGCUCACGGCACACGGCACCGCCCCACCGUCGGCACACGCCGCGCUCACACCAACCACACAGCACACAGCAUGGGGCAAAACAUGGCCUUCUUGGGCAGCACGCGGCACCGCACCGCCACCACGGUGAGUCCAUGGCACAGUAUGGCACUCCUGGUGGGUCCAUGGCACAGUAUGGCUCUCCUGGUGAGUCCAUGGCACAGUAUGGCACUCCUGGUGUGUCCAUGGCACAGUAUGGCACAGCAAUGCACUCCUGGUGGGUCCAUGGCACAGUAUGGCACUGUUGGUGAGUCCAUGGCACAGUAUGGCACAGUAUGGCUCUCCCGGUGAGUCCAUGGCACAGUAUGGCACUCCUGGUGAGUCCAUGGCACAGUAUGGCACAGUAUGGCUCUCCUGGUGAGUCCAUGGCACAGUAUGGCAGUCCUGGUGGGUCCAUGGCACAGUAUGGCACUGCUGGUGAGUCCAUGGCUCAGUAUGGCACAGUAUGGCACUCCUGGUGAGUCCAUGGCACAGUGUGACACUCCCGGUGAGGCCAUGGCACAGUAUGGCACUCCCACUCCCUCCCAGCCCCACUUGAACACACAUUCCCACUCCCAGUCCCACUCCCAGCCCACUCACAGCACCCACUCCCACUCCCACUCCCUCCCAGCCCCACUCAAACACCCACUCCCACUCCCACUCCCACUCCCAGCCCACUCACAGCACCCACUCCCACUCCCACUCCCUCCCAGCCCCACUCAAACACCCACUCCC